rnacentral:lncRNA from 10 species
UGCUGCCCCCAGGUCGCAGCGGGGUGUGCAGGGGACCAUUGCAGGCUGCAGGGGCACCUGCAUCCUCUAGAACUUCCUGAAGACCAGACGCUCUGAUUUUCCAACCAGCACCAGCCCAGUCAUUUCCCUCUGCCUCCCUGGGGACUGUCCCAGCCGCCAUCCCUUGCUCCUGCCUCCCUGGGGACUAUCCAAGCCACCAUCCCUUGCUCCUGCCUCAUGCGGGUUUCCUCUCUAGCCAGAUCCUCCCCGUCUGUAUCCAAAAAUACUGUUACUUCCCUGUCCUUAAGACAGUGUGUUUGACUGCUUUGCUUGUUUGUUUGCUCCUCUUGAUGGUAAAACUGCUCCAGAGAUGUGGCCCCAUCUGGGGUUGCCCCACUGAAGCCCUCCACAGAGACUUUGUGACACCUGACCACUAACCUCACCUCGCUAAACUGAGGCAGAGCUUGGCAACAGUGGUGACUCAGUGGCUCAGCCCUCCUCUUGAAACACCAUCCUCCCGAGUUCCAGGACCCCUCUGCCAGGCCCCUCCCUCCUUCUCCAUCCCCCACACCUCCCCCCAUCUUCCCGUGGGGGGACCCAGUGCUCGUCUCUAUUCACACUCUACAGACUCCGCGUGACACCAGGCCCCACCUCUGCACCCUCCACCUCAAGGAUGGAUACACCUUCCGGGCUGUACCCGUGAACCCCAGCCUCCAGGUCUACCCAAAACCUGCUCACCAUCACCUUCUCAGCCACCUGGACCUGGGAACAUGGCAGCUGCUGGAGGUCUUAAAGGCGCCCUUUCCCUAAGACCUUUGAGAUUGCCGAAGUCCCUUCCAAGACUCAAAUCUACUGGCUCGGAUA